rnacentral:rRNA from 1 species
GUCCAGACUCCUACGGGAGGCAGCAGUGGGGAAUAUUGCACAAUGGGGGAAACCCUGAUGCAGCGACGCCGCGUGAAGGAUGAAGUAUUUCGGUAUGUAAACUUCUAUCAGCAGGGAAGAAAAUGACGGUACCUGACUAAGAAGCCCCGGCUAACUACGUGCCAGCAGCCGCGGUAAUACGUAGGGGGCAAGCGUUAUCCGGAUUUACUGGGUGUAAAGGGGGCGCAGACGGCGAUGCAAGCCAGGAGUGAAAGCCUGGGGCCCAACCCCGGGACUGCUCUUGGAACUGCGUGGCUGGAGUGCAGGAGGGGCAGGCGGAAUUCCUGGUGUAGCGGUGAAAUGCGUAGAUAUCAGGAGGAACACCGGUGGCGAAGGCGGCCUGCUGGACUGCAACUGACGUUGAGGCCCGAAAGCGUGGGGAGCAAACAGGAUUAGAUGCCCCUGUA